CUGCGGACUUAGAAAAGUGAGCCUUGAUAGAGAAAUCCUUCAAGUGUAAGCUCUCAAACUCAGGGAAACCUAAAUCUGAUGAGAUUUCAUCAAACAGACAAGGCAAUCCUGAGCCAAGCCCAGUAAACUCACGUAAUGUUUCUGGGAAGGUGCAGAGACUCGACGGGAGCUACCCUAACGUGAAGACGAGGGUAAAGGGAGAGUCCAAUUCUUAAAA
rnacentral:ncRNA from 1 species